rnacentral:rRNA from 1 species
GACGAACGCUGGCGGCGUGCUUAACACAUGCAAGUCGAACGAUGAAGCCUUCGGGUGGAUUAGUGGCGAACGGGUGAGUAACACGGGGGUGAUCUGCCCUGCACUUUGGGAUAAGCCUGGGAAACUGGGUCUAAUACCGAAUAUGAUCAUGCUCUUCAUGGGGUGUGGUGGAAAGCUUUUGCGGUGUGGGAUGGGCCCGCGGCCUAUCAGCUUGUUGGUGGGGUAAUGGCCUACCAAGGCGACGACGGGUAGCCGGCCUGAGAGGGUGACCGGCCACACUGGGACGGAGAUACGGCCCAGAGUCCUACGGGAGGCAGCAGUGGAGAGUAUUGCACAAUGGGCGCAAGCCUGAUGCAGCGGCGCCGCGUGAGGGAGGACGGCCUUCGGGUUGUAAACCUCUUUCAGCAGGGACGAAGCGCAAGUGACGGUACCUGCAGAAGAAGGACCGGCCAACUACGUGCCAGCCGCCGCCGUAAAAC